CUAGCGACUUCAGAGUUUGAUCCUGGCUCAGGACGAACGCUGGCGGCGUGCCUAACACAUGCAAGUCGAACGGAAGUUAACGCUGAUUUGAUUCUAGCUUGCUAGAGGAUUUUCUUGUUAACUUUAGUGGCGGACGGGUGAGUAACGCGUGAGUAACCUGCCUUACAGAGGGGGACAACAGUUGGAAACGACUGCUAAUACCGCAUAACAUAUGAUUGUCGCAUGGCAGACAUAUCAAAGGAGCAAUCCGCUGUAAGAUGGACUCGCGUCCAAUUAGAUAGUUGGUGGGGUAACGGCCCACCAAGUCGACGAUUGGUAGCCGGACUGAGAGGUUGAACGGCCACAUUGGGACUGAGACACGGCCCAG
rnacentral:rRNA from 1 species